rnacentral:lncRNA from 1 species
GGCACCACCGGAGGUGGUGGUGGACACGGGGUUUCCGUAGGAGGGCUUGGUGGUGUAACCACGGGAGGUGUUGGUGUAGGUGGUGUAACAAUCGGUGGGGUUGGUGUAGGUGGUGUAACAAUAGGUGGUGAUGGUACAACUGGGGGUAGUGGAACAUAAGGUGGAGGGUAAACAAUUGGUGGUUUCACAAUAGGAGGUGUUGGAACAUAAGGUGGAGGGUAAACAAUUGGUGGUUUCACAAUAGGAGGUUUUGGAACAUAAGGUGGAGGGUAAACAAUGGGUGGUUUUGGCACAUAAGGUGGUGUCACCGGUACAACCGGUGGCUUAGGCACAUAUGGCGGUGUAACUGGUACAACAGGUGGUUUUGGCACAUAAGGUGGAGAAACAACUGGUGGCUUAGGAACAUAAGGUGGUGGUUUCACAACUGGUGGUUUAGGCACAUAAGGAGGUUUCACAAUUGGUGGUUUGGGAACAUGGGGUGGUUUUGGCACAUAAGGUGGUUUCACAAUUGGUGGUUUUGGAACAUGGGGUGGUUUCACAACUGGUGGUUUUGGCACAUGAGGUGGUUUAACCACUGGAGGCUUGGGAUAGUGAGGUGGUUUUGGUGAUGGCUUGGGGGGUGGACAUGGUUCCGGGCCAUGAGAUGGAGGGUACUUUGGGGGGUUAUGAACUG